AUUGAACGCUAGCGGGAUGCCUUACACAUGCAAGUCGAACGGAGUGGCGAACGGGUGGGUAAUGUAUCGGAACGUGCCCAGUAGCGGGGGAUAACUACGCGAAAGCGUAGCUAAUACCGCAUACUAUUGGAGCGGCCGAUAUCGGAUUGGCUAGUUGGGGGGGGAAGGGAUCACCAAGGCGACGAACCGUAGCUGGGUUGGGAGGACGACCAGCCCCACUGGGACUGGGGCACGGCCCAGACUCCUACGGGAGGCAGCAGUGGGGAAUUUUGGAAAAUGGGGGAAACCCUGGUCCAGCCAACCCGCGUGUGAGAUGAAGGCCUUCGGGUUGUAAAGCACUUUUGGCAGGAAAGCGGUACCUGCAGAAUAAGCACCGGCUAACUACGUGCCAGCACCCGCGGUAAUAC
rnacentral:rRNA from 1 species